GCAGCGGUAUCGAAGUGGUCAUAACGAGCCUGACUCGAAAUCAGGUGUACCUCUGGUACCGUGGGUUCGAAUCCCACCCGCUGCG
rnacentral:tRNA from 1 species